GACGAACGCUGGCGGCGUGCUUAACACAUGCAAGUCGAACGAUGUACCCGGAGCUUGCUCCGGCGGAUUAGUGGCGAACGGGUGAGUAACACGUGAGUAACCUGCCCUUGACUCUGGGAUAACUGCGGGAAACUGUGGCUAAUACCGGAUACGACCCUCGGCGGCAUCGCCAGGGGGUGGAAAGAAUUUCGGUCAAGGAUGGACUCGCGGCCUAUCAGCUAGUUGGUGAGGUAACGGCUCACCAAGGCGACGACGGGUAGCCGGCCUGAGAGGGUGACCGGCCACACUGGGACUGAGACACGGCCCAGACUCCUACGGGAGGCAGCAGUGGGGAAUAUUGCACAAUGGGCGCAAGCCUGAUGCAGCAACGCCGCGUGAGGGAUGACGGCCUUCGGGUUGUAAACCUCUUUUAGUAGGGAAGAAGCGAAAGUGACGGUACCUGCAGAAAAAGCACCGGCUAACUACGUGCCAGCCGCCGCAGUAACAC
rnacentral:rRNA from 1 species